CCUACGGGAGGCUGCAGUGGGGAAUAUUGCACAAUGGGGGAAACCCUGAUGCAGCGACGCCGCGUGAGUGAAGAAGUAAUUCGUUAUGUAAAGCUCUAUCAGCAGGGAAGAAAAUGACGGUACCUGAGUAAGAAGCCCCGGCUAACUACGUGCCAGCAGCCGCGGUAAUACGUAGGGGGCAAGCGUUAUCCGGAUUUACUGGGUGUAAAGGGAGCGUAGACGGCAGUGCAAGUCUGGAGUGAAAGGCGGGGGCUCAACCCCCGGACUGCUCUGGAAACUGUACGGCUGGAGUGCAGGAGAGGUAAGUGGAAUUCCUAGUGUAGCGGUGAAAGGCGUAGAUAUUAGGAGGAACAGCAGUGGCGAAGGCGACUUUCUGGACAGUAACUGACGUUGGGGCACGAAAGUGUGGGGAGCAAACAGGAUUAGAUACCCCUGUAGU
rnacentral:rRNA from 1 species